rnacentral:lncRNA from 1 species
AUUGAGAGAGCUUGAGGUUUUGAGUUAGUUUCCUCAAGAGAUUAAUAAGAGAGUUAUUCUUAUUAAGUUUGAUUGUGAUUCAUAUAUUGUGAUUCUAUAUUUGGUAUCAGAGCAACAGGUUCUAAACUAUGUUCGAUAUCGAAUUAAUCAUUAAAUUCAGAUUUGAGAAAACUUCAGGGGAAACUAUAAUGGUUAUGGCGGCAACUUUAUUCAAGCUAAAUUCACUUGAGUCUGAAACGGAUAAAGAGAUGACA